rnacentral:rRNA from 1 species
AAUAGAUACCCCCGGUAGUCCACGCCGUAAACGAUGAGUGCUAAGUGUUGGGGGGGUUUCCGCCCCUCAGUGCUGCAGCUAACGCAUUAAGCACUCCGCCUGGGGAGUACGGUCGCAAGACUGAAACUCAAAGGAAUUGACGGGGGCCCGCACAAGCGGUGGAGCAUGUGGUUUAAUUCGAAGCAACGCGAAGAACCUUACCAGGUCUUGACAUCCCGGUGACCACUAUGGAGACAUAGUCUCCCCUUCGGGGGCAACGGUGACAGGUGGUGCAUGGUUGUCGUCAGCUCGUGUCGUGAGAUGUUGGGUUAAGUCCCGCAACGAGCGCAACCCUUAUUCUUAGUUGCCAUCAUUCAGUUGGGCACUCUAAGGAGACUGCCGGUGAUAAACCGGAGGAAGGUGGGGAUGACGUCAAAUCAUCAUGCCCCUUAUGACCUGGGCUACACACGUGCUACAAUGGACGGUACAAACGGUUGCCAACCCGCGAGGGGAGCUAAUCCGAUAAAACCGUUCUCAGUUCGGAUUGUAGGCUGAAACUCGCCUCUUGAACGG